GACGAACGCUGGCGGCGUGCUUAACACAUGCAAGUCGAACGGAAAGGCCCUGCUUUUGUGGGGUGCUCGAGUGGCGAACGGGUGAGUAACACGGGAGUAACCUGCCCUUGACUUUGGGAUAACUUCAGGAAACUGGGGCUAAUACCGGAUAGGAGCUCCUGCUGCAUGGUGGGGGUUGGAAAGUUUCGGCGGUUGGGGAUGGACUCGCGGCUUAUCAGCUUGUUGGUGGGGUAGUGGCUUACCAAGGCUUUGACGGGUAGCCGGCCUGAGAGGGUGACCGGCCACCUUGGGACUGAGAUACGGCCCAGUCGCCUACGGGAGGCAGCAGGGGGGAAUAUUGCACAAUGGGCGGAAGCCUGAUGCAGCAACGCCGCGUGCGGGAUGACGGCCUUCGGGUUGUAAACCGCUUUCGCCUGUGACGAAGCGUGAGUGACGGUAAUGGGUAAAGAAGCACCGGCUAACUACGUG
rnacentral:rRNA from 1 species